rnacentral:rRNA from 1 species
CAGCCGCCGCGGUAAUACAGAGGAUGCUAGCGUUAAUCGGAUUUACUGGGCGUAAAGCGUGCGUAGGCGGUUUGUCAAGUCGGUUGUGAAAGCCCCGGGCUCAACCUGGGAAUUGCAGUCGAUACUGGCAGACUAGAGAACGGUAGAGGGAGGCGGAACUCCAGGUGUAGCGGUGAAAUGCGUAGAUAUCUGGAAGAACACCGAUGGCGAAGGCAGAUCUCUGGGCCGUAACUGACGCUGAGGAGCGAAAGCAUGGGGAGCGAACAGGAUUAGAUACCCCAGUAGUCCCUGUCUCUUAUAC